UUCCGAUACUCUUUUUGCAACUUUCUGGAGAAUUUUACGUUAUUUCUUCAGAAGUUUCUAGUUUUAAUAUGUGCAGCAACCGCGGGGAAGUUUCUGUGGUGAAUUCGUGCCGUUUUCUGGAUGUUCUGAGGAGAAAAAGCGGGUUUUCUGACCAGAUGAAUUUUGGACGGGAGAACAAAAUGGCGAGACUGGAAGUUGGCCGCACGGAGACUCGUUCAUACAAGGGUCGAGAGAAGCUGUAGGCGAAAUUGACGAACGGUCGGCGUGGUGUUGCAAAACUCGUCCUUGCAUUUUGGAGAGAGGACAAAAUGGCGAAACUGCAUGUGGAUAUUCGUUCAUACAAGACACAGCAUCGCUGCAGACUCCAGCCUUCUGUCCAGACUGCUGCAAUCGCGUUUCUGACGUCACGUCCUGGAAGCUGCAGUGGACGGGUCCAUUCCAUGGACAAGGCUGACAGAGUGAGCCAAAAAUUUGGGGUAAGCUGUUCGAUACAACAUCAGUGUUGACCCCAGCCUCUUGUCCGGGGCAAAUGAUUCAGAGAAGAGUGAAGAGUCUCUUGUCAAGAAGUUAAGUUGUUC